UAAGGACGGUGCCAGCCGCCGCGGUAAUACCGGCGCCUCAAGUGGUAGUCGCUUUUAUUGGGCCUAAAACGUCCGUAGCCGGUCUGAUACAUUCGUGGGUAAAUCAACCAGCUCAACUGGUUGAAUUCUGCGAGGACGGUCAAACUUGGGACCGGGAGAGGUGUGGGGUACGCUCAGGGUAGGGGUAAAAUCCUGUCAUCCUGAGCGGACCACCUGUUGCGAAGGCGCCACACUAGAACGGAUCCGACGGUCAGGGACGAAGCCUAGGGGCACGAACCGGAUUAAAUACCCGGGUAGUCCUAGGUGUAAACGCUGUGGACUUGAUGUUGGGGGUGCUCCGAGCACUCUCAGUGUCGAAGCGAAGGUGAUAAGUCCACUGCCUGGGAAGUACGGUCGCAAGG
rnacentral:rRNA from 1 species